rnacentral:rRNA from 1 species
GCGCUUCUUGGAUAGGCCAGGAAGCAUGCCUCUUUGAGUAUCGUUUUCACCCCAGCUCGACUGCUCUUUUGUAAUAAGAAGAGUUUCUGUCGGAGAAUGAGUUUGUCUUGUCUGAAAUAGAUAAGUCACUUUAAAUGCUGUGAGUGUUUUAAUCGCUAAUACUACCUAUGUUGGUUAGUUUGAUCUAAUCGUUUAGUAGUAAUAUGGAUAAUCUCUAUUUAUAUUACACCGCUAGAUGACGCGAUUGGCUAAUGUUAUCUGCAUGGACUAGUAGAUUAAUAACCGCACUCAGUGGAAAUUAUCUAAUACUUAAAUGUAUAUUUUUUGAAUUAGAUCUCAAAUGAAGCAAGACUACCCGCUGAACUUAAGCAUAUUAUUAAGCGGAGGAAAAGAAACUAACAAGGAUGCCCUCAGUAACGGCGAGUGAAGCGGGCGAAGCUCAACCUGAAAAUCGGAUAUCCAAGCGGGUGUUCGAAUUGUGGGCUAGAGACGCGUGAUCAGUGUGUGACCUAGGUAUAAAUCUUUUGAAACAAGGUAUCACAGAGGGUGAGAAUCCCGUCUUUGACCUAGAGUUUUCGCCACGUACGAUCCGUGUUCACAGAGUCGAGUUGUUUGGGAUUGCAGC